AGUGAACGCUGGCGGCAGGCCUAAUACAUGCAAGUCGAACGGCAGCACAGCAGAGCUUGCUCUGUGGGUGGCGAGUGGCGGACGGGUGAGGAAUACGUGGGAAUCUGCCCAGUCGUGGGGGGAUAACGUAGGGAAACUUACGCUAAUACCGCAUGCGCCCUUCGGGGGAAAGCCGGGGACCUUCGGGCCUGGCGCGAUUGGAUGAGCCCACGUCGGAUUAGCUAGUUGGCGGGGUAAAGGCCCACCAAGGCGACGAUCCGUAGCUGGUCUGAGAGGAUGAUCAGCCACACUGGAACUGAGACACGGUCCAGACUCCUACGGGAGGCAGCAGUAGGGAAUAUUGGACAAUGGGCGCAAGCCUGAUCCAGCCAUGCCGCGUGAGUGAAGAAGGCCCUCGGGUUGUAAAGCUCUUUUGUCCGGAAAAGAAAGCGCCGGGUUAAUACCCUGGUGUCCUGGACGGUACCGGAAGAAUAAGCACCGGCUAACUUCGUGCCAGCAGCCGCGGUAAA
rnacentral:rRNA from 1 species